GGAGAGGUGCCCGAGUGGCUGAAGGGGACGGUUUGCUAAACCGUUGUACAGGCUUAAACCUGUACCCAGGGUUCAAAUCCCUGCCUCUCCG
rnacentral:tRNA from 1 species